rnacentral:rRNA from 1 species
UACAGAGGGGGCAAGCGUUGUUCGGAAUUACUGGGCGUAAAGGGCGCGUAGGUGGCCUUCUAAGUUGAACGUGAAAUCCCUGGGCUCAACCCAGGAACUGCGUCCAAGACUGGGAGGCUUGAAUCCGGGAGAGGGUAGUGGAAUUCCCGGUGUAGUGGUGAAAUGCGUAGAUAUCGGGAGGAACACCAGUGGCGAAGGCGACUACCUGGCCUGUUCUUGACGCUGAGGCGCGAAAGCUAGGGGAGCAAACGGG